rnacentral:rRNA from 1 species
CAGAGGGUUGAUCCUUAAAUAGAUUGAACAUGGCGGGGAUGUGUCCACGGCACAAGUCGAACGGCGGCACUGGACUUCGGUCUGGUGGCGAGUGGCAGGAGGCGGUGGAAAUGUGUAUCAGAACGAUGCCCUGUUGGCGGGGAUAUACGCGAAAGCGCGUCAUACUAUACGCCCUUCGAGAAAGCGGGGAUAUGGGCUCACACUAUUAGAGCGGCCGAUAUCGGAUUAGCUCAGUUGGUGGGGUAACGGCUCACCAAGGCGACGAUCCGUAGCUGGUUUGAGAGGACGACCAGCCACACUGGGACUGAGACACAAGCCCGGGCUCACCACGGGAGAGCGGCAGUGGGAAUUUUGGACAGUGGGGGAAACCUGAUCAGCCAUCCCCGCGUGUACGUGAAGGCCUUCGAGUUUAUAAAACACUUUUGGCAGGAAAGAAACGGCACGGGAUAAUACCCCGUGCAACUGACGGUACCUGCAGAAUAAGCACCGGCUAACUACGUGCCAGCAACCGCGGUAAUACGUAGGGUGCAAGCGUUAAUCGGGAAUUACUGGGCGUAAAGCGUGCGCAGGCGGUUCGGAAAGAAAGAUGUGAAAUCCCGGGCCAACUGGAACUGCAUUUUUAACUACCGAGCUAGAGAGUGUGUCAGAGGAGGUGGAAUUCCGCGUGUAGCAGUGAAAUGCGUAGAUAUGCGGAGGAACACCGAUGGCGAAGGCAGCCUCCUGGGAUAACACUGACGCUCAUGCACGAAAGCGUGGGGAGCAAACAGGAUUAGAUACCUGGUAGUCCACGCCUAAACGAUGUCAACUAGCUGUUGGGGCCUUCGGGCCUUGGUAGCGCAGCUAACGCGCGUGAAGUUGACCGCCUGGGAAGUACGGUCGCAAGAUUAAAACUCAAAGGAAUUGACGGGGACCCACAAGCGGUGGAUGAUGUGGAUUAAUUCGAUACAACGCAAAAACCUUACCUACCCUUGACAGCUGUCUGGAAUCCCGAAGAGAUUUGGGAGUGCUCGCGAGAACCGGAACACAGGUGCUGCAUGGCUGUCGUCGCUCAUGUCGUGAGAUGUUGGGUUAAGUCCCGCAACGAGCGCAACCCUUGUCAUUAGUUGCUACGAAGGGCACUCUAAUGAGACUGCCGGUGACAAACCGGAGGAGGAAGGUGGGGAUGACGUCAAGUCCUCAUGGCCCAUAUGGGUAGGGCUUCACACGUCAUACAAUGGCGAUUCGGGACAGAGGGUCGCCAACCCGCGAGGGGGCAAUCCCGAAACCCGAUCAUAGUCCGGAUCACAGUCUGCAACUCAUUCAUGAAGUCCGAAUCAUGUCAAAUCGCGGAUCAACGUAUCGCGGUGAAUACGUUCCCGGGUCUGUACACACCGCCCGUCACACCAUGGGAGUGGGUUUUACCAGAAGUAGUUAGCCUAACCGUAAGGCGAUUACCACGGAAGUAAGGAUUCUUGGCUGGAAUUUGGUGGCCAACAAGGUAG